GCCUUCGUAGCUCAGGGGAUAGAGCGUCUGCCUCCGGAGCAGAAGGUCGCAGGUUCGAAUCCUGCCGAGGGCACCA
rnacentral:tRNA from 1 species